rnacentral:piRNA from 1 species
UAAGAGGUUAGAGUGAGUGAGGAGAA